CAGCCGCCACGGUAAUACGAAGGGGGCUAGCGUUGUUCGGAAUUACUGGGCGUAAAGCGCACGUAGGCGGAUUGUUAAGUUAGGGGUGAAAUCCCAGGGCUCAACCCUGGAACUGCCUUUAAUACUGGCAAUCUCGAGUCCGAGAGAGGUGAGUGGAAUUCCGAGUGUAGAGGUGAAAUUCGUAGAUAUUCGGAGGAACACCAGUGGCGAAGGCGGCUCACUGGCUCGGUACUGACGCUGAGGUGCGAAAGCGUGGGGAGCAAACAGGAUUAGAUACCCGCGUAGUCCCUGUCUCUUAUAA
rnacentral:rRNA from 1 species